rnacentral:rRNA from 1 species
UACGAAGGGGGCUAGCGUUGCUCGGAAUCACUGGGCGUAAAGGGUGCGUAGGCGGGUCUUUAAGUCAGGGGUGAAAUCCUGGAGCUCAACUCCAGAACUGCCUUUGAUACUGAGGAUCUUGAGUUCGGGAGGGGUGAGUGGAACUGCGAGUGUAGAGGUGAAAUUCGUAGAUAUUCACAAGAACACCAGUGGCGAAGGCGGCUCACUGGCCCGAUACUGACGCUGAGGCACGAAAGCGUGGGGAGCAAACAGG